rnacentral:rRNA from 1 species
AAGUCGAGCGGUAACGGGUCCAGCUUGCUGGAUGCCGACGAGCGGCGGACGGGUGAGUAAUGCAUAGGAAUCUGCCCAGUCGUGGGGGAUAACCUGGGGAAACCCAGGCUAAUACCGCAUACGUCCUACGGGAGAAAGCGGGGGCUUCGUGUUCUUCGGAAUGGGGACCUCGCGCGAUUGGAUGAGCCUAUGUCGGAUUAGCUGGUUGGUGAGGUAACGGCUCACCAAGGCGACGAUCCGUAGCUGGUCUGAGAGGAUGAUCAGCCACACCGGGACUGAGACACGGCCCGGACUCCUACGGGAGGCAGCAGUGGGGAAUAUUGGACAAUGGGCGCAAGCCUGAUCCAGCCAUGCCGCGUGUGUGAAGAAGGCUUUCGGGUUGUAAAGCACUUUCAGUGGGGAAGAAGGCCUGGCGGUCAAUACCCGCCAGGGACGACAUCACCCACAGAAGAAGCACCGGCUAACUCCGUGCCAGCAGCCGCGGUAAUACGGAGGGUGCGAGCGUUAAUCGGAAUUACUGGGCGUAAAGCGCGCGUAGGCGGCCAAGAUAAGCCGGUUGUGAAAGCCCCGGGCUCAACCUGGGAAUGGCAUCCGGAACUGGUUGGCUAGAGUGCAGGAGAGGAAGGUAGAAUUCCCGGUGUAGCGGUGAAAUGCGUAGAGAUCGGGAGGAAUACCAGUGGCGAAGGCGGCCUUCUGGACUGACACUGACGCUGAGGUGCGAAAGCAUGGGUAGCAAACAGGAUUAGAUACCCUGGUAGUCCAUGCCGUAAACGAUGUCGACUAGCCGUUGGGUCCCUUGAGGACUUGGUGGCGCAGUUAACGCGAUAAGUCGACCGCCUGGGGAGUACGGCCGCAAGGUUAAAACUCAAAUGAAUUGACGGGGGCCCGCACAAGCGGUGGAGCAUGUGGUUUAAUUCGAUGCAACGCGAAGAACCUUACCUACCCUUGACAUCCUGCGAACCCUCCGGAGACGGAGGGGUGCCUUCGGGAGCGCAGAGACAGGUGCUGCAUGGCUGUCGUCAGCUCGUGUUGUGAAAUGUUGGGUUAAGUCCCGUAACGAGCGCAACCCUUGUCCUUAUUUGCCAGCGAGUAACGUCGGGAACUCUAGGGAGACUGCCGGUGACAAACCGGAGGAAGGUGGGGACGACGUCAAGUCAUCAUGGCCCUUACGGGUAGGGCUACACACGUGCUACAAUGGCCGGUACAAAGGGUUGCCAUCCCGCGAGGGGGCGCCAAUCUCAUAAASCCGGUCUCAGUCCGGAUCGGAGUCUGCAACUCGACUCCGUGAAGUCGGAAUCGCUAGUAAUCGUGAAUCAGAAUGUCACGGUGAAUACGUUCCCGGGCCUUGUACACACCGCCCGUCACACCAUGGGAGUGGACUGCACCAGAAGUGGUUAGCUUAACCUUCGGGAGAGCGAUC